rnacentral:lncRNA from 1 species
GUGCCGAGUAGUCAAAGGCACUUCCGCCCCAGGAUAGCGAGGCCAUCACUGUCCGGGAGGAAACACUGAAUCACCCCGCGCUAGUGCUUGGGGAUGUCCUCUGCCCCUGCAGUUUAUCCCGGAAACAGAGUUUAUCGUGCUAUCCCAGUGCAUCCUUUUCUUCACCACUCCUGAAUUCGGAAAGGGGAAGAAGAAGGGAUUUCUUGGCUUUUCAUAGCCCCAGCUACAAGAAAAAGGGACUCCUGGUUGUUAGAACUUUCCAUUCACUCAUUCGGUCCUUGGAACAGCCUGAUGAGUUCUGCCUUCUCAGGAUUCAGACCUUCACCAGAAGGAACAGGAGAAAAUGACCAAGUUUCAGGUAACUAAGGCAUUCCUUUCUGUCUCCUAAGAUGUGAUUUUAUUUCUCUCAGAUUAGGACAAUCUUUUUUCUCUUCCUUGGAAAGAUUAAUAGAAAACAACAGAUCUUGAGUGUGUGUUGUGUCCUGGACUGCGUGUGAUUUGUUUUAUUUUAUCUUUAUUAUUUCACAAAACAAUAUUUGGGAAAAAAAAAUAGAAAACUGAAAUAGAUAAAAGUAAUUUACACUACUACCCUGCUUACAAAUGAGCUCUUUUCACUUUCUCAUUUCCCUGUUUCACGUACGUUCGUAACUAUAUAUUUGGAAUAUUAGAAUUGACGGGAUAUACUUAUAUAUAUUAGAU